GACGAACGCUGGCGGCGUGCUUAACACAUGCAAGUCGAACGGAAAGGCCCUGCUUUUGUGGGGUGCUCGAGUGGCGAACGGGUGAGUAACACGUGAGUAACCUGCCCUUGACUUUGGGAUAACUUCAGGAAACUGGGGCUAAUACCGGAUAGGAGCUCCUGCUGCAUGGUGGGGGUUGGAAAGUUUCGGCGGUUGGGGAUGGACUCGCGGCUUAUCAGCUUGUUGGUGGGGUAGUGGCUUACCAAGGCUUUGACGGGUAGCCGGCCUGCGAGGGUGACCGGCCACAUUGGGACUGAGAUACGGCCCAGACUCCUACGGGAGGCAGCAGUGGGGAAUAUUGCACAAUGGGAGGAAGCCUGAUGCAGCAACGCCGCGUGCGGGAUGACGGCAUUCGGGUUGUAAACCGCUUUCGCCUGUGACGAAGCGUGAGUGACGGUAAUGGGUAAAGAAGCACCGGCUAACUACGUG
rnacentral:rRNA from 1 species